rnacentral:rRNA from 1 species
UACGUAGGGGGGCAAGCGUUGUCCGGAUUUAUUGGGCGUAAAGAGCGUGUAGGCGGCCAGGGAGGUCCGUUGUGAAAACUCGAGGCUCAACCUCGAGACGCCGAUGGAAACCCCCUGGCUAGAGUCCGGAAGAGGAGAGUGGAAUUCCUGGUGUAGCGGUGAAAUGCGCAGAUAUCGGGAAGAACACCCGUGGCGAAGGCGGCACUCUGGGACGGUACUGACGCUGAGACGCGAAAGCGUGGGGAGCGAACAGG